AAUCUUGCGCAAUGGUCGAAAGCCUGACGCAGCCAUGCCGCGUGAAUGAUUAAUGUCUNAGGAUUNUNAAAUUCUUUCACCGGGGNCGAUAAUGACGGUACCCGGAGAAGAAGCCCCUGCUAACUUCGUGCCAGCAGCCGCGGUAAUACGAAGGGGGCUAGCGUUGCUCGGAAUUACUGGGCGUAAAGGGCGCGUAGGCGGACAUUUAAGUCAGGGGUGAACUCCCAGAGCUCAACUCUGGAACUGCCUUGGAUAAUGGGUGUAUUGAGUGUGAGAGAGGUAUGUGGAACUCCGAGUGUAGAGGUGAAAUUCGUAGAUAUUCGGAAGAACACCAGUGGCGAAGGCGACAUACGGGCUCAUUACUGACGCUGAGGCGCGAAAGCGUGGGGAGCAAACA
rnacentral:rRNA from 1 species